AGCGAACGCUGGCGGCGUGGAUUAGGCAUGCAAGUCGAACGGGACUGAGUCGCAAGAUUCAGUUCAGUGGCGAAAGGGCGAGUAUUACAUCGAUCAUCUACCCCAGGGCCCGGAACAACACCUGGAAACGGGUGCUAAUGCCGGAUGGUCCAGCAAUGGUAAACGGCGGGGACCGCAAGGCCUGCCGCCCAGGGAGGAGUCGAUGGCCUAUCAGCUUGUUGGUGAGGAACGGCUCACCAAGGCGAAGACGGGUAGCCGGACUGAGAGGUUGGUCGGCCGCACUGGGACUGGGACACUGCCCAGACUCCUACGGGAGGCUGCAGUCGAGGAUCUUCCGCAAUGGGGGCAACCCUGACGGAGCGACGCCGCGUGCAGGAUGAAGGCCUCGGUCGUAAC
rnacentral:rRNA from 1 species